UACUAUUAGACUGAAGGUACACAGGAG
rnacentral:piRNA from 1 species